rnacentral:rRNA from 1 species
GACGAACGCUGGCGGCGUGCUUAACACAUGCAAGUCGAACGGAAAGGCCCUGCUUUUGUGGGGUGCUCGAGUGGCGAACGGGUGAGUAACACGUGAGUAACCUGCCCUUGACUUUGGGAUAACUUCAGGAAACUGGGGCUAAUACCGGAUAGGAGCUCCUGCUGCAUGGUGGGGGUUGGAAAGUUUCGGCGGUUGGGGAUGGACUCGCGGCUUAUCAGCUUGCUGGUGGGGUAGUGGCUUACCAAGGCUUUGACGGGUAGCCGGCCUGAGGGGGUGACCGGCCACAUUGGGACUGAGAUGCGGCCCAGACUCCUACGGGAGGCAGCAGUGGGGAAUAUUGCACAAUGGGCGGAAGCCUGAUGCAGCAACGCCGCGUGCUGGAUAACGGCCUUCGGGUUGUAAACCGCUUGCGCCUGUGACGAAGGGUGAGUGACGGUAAUGGGUAGAGUAGCAACGGCUAAAUACGUG